rnacentral:snRNA from 1 species
GCUACUGGCAGCUUUGAAGCA